GGGGCGCACCGACCAAGCAAUCUCCCUGCUGGAGUCCGUCUUCGCCCCAGAGGAGGAGAAAGCAGGGGAGGCGGGGGCUCUCCUGGCCCGCCUCUACCUCCAGCAGGGGGAAGGUGAAGGAGGCGGAGGCGUGCACCUCAGCCUCACCGCCGCCCAGCCCUCGCAGCCGCGGAUCCUGGCGGAAUACGCGGCGUUCCUGCAGAGAUUGGGACGGAACGAAGCCGCUGCCCGGCACUACGAGGCCGCCCUGAGUCUCUCGAUCACGCCCACGCCCCGCCCUCAAAGGCUACGCCGCCCUCAUGAGUGCAAGGGACCACCACGCCCGCGCCCAUGAACUAUAUACGAGAGCGCUUGACAGGGAGUGGGACCCUGACACGGCGACGGCCCUGGCAAAGGUGUGUAUCUUGACAGGGAGAUUGGAGCAAGCACACACCCUGCUCGACCGCGUGACCCUGCUGCACCCCAAGCAUUUGGCAGCGC